GGGGGUCGCGCAUAAGAGAGAGCAGGAAGAGAAAUCCCCUCUUCAACCCUAGUUCAUAAAAUCUAAGAAUUGGAUGCGAUUUUGGAUGAAAUUCGGAUGCAUGUGACGAAAUUUCCAACCAUCUAAAAGUUUCCUACAUAGGGCGUGAAAGAAAAGGUUCCAACACUGAGAAAACGGAAGGAUCACAAGGCCGAGGUAAAACACCUCUAUAGGCGAUUUGGAGAUAUGGAGCGAGCACAUGUUCAAGCCUUAUUAUACCAAGCGCUUCCGCAAGUUUAUACGCAUGCUUUUGGGUCCAUGUUUUUGUUACUUUGUUAAACCUUGUUAAAAGUUUUAGAUUUGAAAA